GACGUAGGGCGCGAGCGUUGUCCGGAUUUAUUGGGCGUAAAGAGCUCGUAGACGGCUUGUCGCGUCUGCCGUGAAAGUCCGGGGCUCAACUCCGGAUCUGCGGUGGGUACGGGCAGACUAGAGUGAUGUAGGGGAGACUGGAAUUCCUGGUGUAGCGGUGAAAUGCGCAGAUAUCAGGAGGAACACCGAUGGCGAAGGCAGGUCUCUGGGCAUUAACUGACGCUGAGGAGCGAAAGCAUGGGGAGCGAACAGG
rnacentral:rRNA from 1 species